rnacentral:rRNA from 1 species
CGAUGGAUAGCCGGCCUGAGAGGGUGUACGGCCACAUUGGGACUGAGACACGGCCCAGGCUCCUACGGGAGGCAGCAGCUAAGAAUAUUCCGCAAUGGGAGAAAUCCUGACGGAGCGACGCCGCGUGGACGAUGAAGGCAGAAAUGUUGUAAAGUCCUUUUAUAUGGGAAGAAUAAUGACAGGAGUGGAAAGCUUGUCAGAUGACGGUACCAUAUGAAUAAGCCCCGGCUAACUACGUGCCAGCAGCCGCGGUAAUACGUAGGGGGCUAGCGUUGUUCGGAUUCAUUGGGCGUAAAGGGCAUGUAGGCGGUUAUAUAAGUGUGAAUUUAAAGGCUUAGGCUUGACCUAAUGUAUGGUUUGCAAACUGUAUAACUAGAGUAUAGGAUGGGAAACUGGAAUUCCGCGUGUAGGGGUGAAAUCUGUAGAGAUGCGGGAGAAUACCGGUGGCGAAGGCGAGUUUCUGGCCUGUAACUGACGCUAAUAUGCGAAAGUGUGGGGAGCAAACAGGAUUAGAUGCCCUGGUAGUCCACACUGUAAACGUUGCACACUAGGUGUUAGUAGUUUGCUCUGCUAGUGCCGUAGCUAACGCAUUAAGUGUGCCGCCUGGGGAGUAUGCUCGCAAGGGUGAAACUCAAAGGAAUUGACGGGGGCCCGCACAAGCGGUGGAGCAUGUGGUUUAAUUCGAUAUACGCGAAGAACCUUACCAAGGCUUGACAUUUAGAUGAUCGAUACAGAGAUGUGUCUUCCCUUCGGGGCGUCUAAACAGGUGCUGCAUGGCUGUCGUCAGCUCGUGUUGUGAGAUGUUGGGUUAAGUCCCGCAACGAGCGCAACCCUUACUGUUAGUUGCCAUCAGGUUAUGCUGGGCACUCUAGCGGAACUGCCGGUGACAAACCGGAGGAAGGUGGGGAUGACGUCAAGUCCUCAUGGCCCUUAUGUCUUGGGCUACACGCGUGCUACAAUGGGCUGUACAAAGGCUUGCAAUACCGCAAGGUGGAGCCAAUCCCAAAAAGCAGUCCUCAGUUCGGAUUGGAGUCUGCAACUCGACUCCAUGAAGUUGGAAUCGCUAGUAAUCGCAGAUCAGAAUGCUGCGGUGAAUACGUUCCCGGGCCUUGUACACACCGCCCGUCACACCAUCCGAGUCGAGGACACCCAAAGUUAUUACCCUAACCGUAAGGAGGGGGGUACCUAAGGUGUGUUUGGUAAGGAGGGUGAAGUCGUAACAAGGUA